UGAAAGCAUUUCAUACCAGAAAACUUCCAGUUUGGUUCAGGCAGCCUUCCCUGAGCACCCUGCCUCCCCACAGGGAGGGUGCUGUGCUCUUGUCCUGGGGUGGGGGCAGGUAGGAGGAUGCUGAGCAAAACAGGUUGACUGCACGCAUAUUCAACAGUUCUCCAGAAUGUUCUCUAGAACAGGCACAGUUGGGAGAGUUCUAUGCAAGGGAUUGGCAGCAUGCCUGACAGCAGGGGGCAAGUGUACCCCAGCCCACUCCUCUGAUGGUUAGAGAAAGGAUGCUGAAGGGGUGAGCUCGGGCGUACAGCUCCAGUUAGGACAGGGGCCUGUGCCUUUCCCUGAUGUUAGCCCCCAGCUGGCGCAUCUGUCCGAGUGUCCCCCAGAUCGGCCAGGCCUGCACCUCCUACAGUUCCUACCCACCCCCCUCCAGGUCCCCAGUGGCAGUGAAUCUCCAUUCACUGGCCAAAACCAGACAUUAAUUAUUUUAAUUGCUUAUCCACCUGAUUAAACAAAUAUUAAUUUGAAUGCCAACUGCGUGCUCACAGUCGUGUGCAAAGCUGGGUGUGUGGUUGGAGAGUCAGCUGUUUAUUAAGGAAUUGCAUGCAUGAGGCUAUCAUUAAAAUAAGUAAGAGAAAAGAAAGGAGUCUUUGUUUCCAGGUGCAACAGGAAGCCCCCGAAGUGUUGUGAGCAGGGUGUGAUGUGAUGGGAGGACGGUUCUGGAAAGAUCUCCCCGGCUGUUGAGUCCACCAGCUGGCUGAGGGACACCUGCUGCAAGGCCUGUGGACAGUCUGGGUGGGGGUGGGGGCGGCCUCCUCAGGGGGCAGUGGACAUGGGGGGAGGUGCAGGGAGCCUGAGGUACUUAAGCAGUGACACACCAGCUGAGCCGGAUGACAGGCUGGAUAUGGCUGAUGGGGGGACCGAGCAGCAGGGCUCCUGACUCAGUCACUAGAUGGCAAACCAAUGAAGAAUCAUGUCAUCCCCUGAGAUCCGCAGAGCAUGGUGUUCCUCAGGGGACUCAAGGCUGCCUUCGAGUUUUUGGAGAGACUGGAAACAAUCUUACCUUGCUCCCAGCCAGACCUCCGGGGUCCUGGACACCUGCUUUCAACAUGCAGAAAUUCCUGAGACACGUUAUCUCCCCCGCCCCAAACCUGAGAAUAUACAAUCAGUCUGGCCUCACAAUCCCAGGGCAGUGCUCGCCCACAGGUCUGUCCCCACGCUGCAAUAAAAGCUGCUCCGAAGAUGUCUCAGUUCUUUCUUGAUUGUGGUGUUUAGCGACACCCCCAUCACUGGGAAGGAGAACAUUCUCUCAUAGAACCACACUUUGUGACCCAACUCAGGAAAUUAGCAUUAAUUAGACAGUACUAACUAACCCAGAGACCUUAUUAAUACUUAAACCAUGUGUUCUUCAGAGCCCGAAACAUUGAUUUCCUGGACCUUGGUGUGGUCCAGGAUUACAAAUUGUAUUGAGCAAUGAUGUCUCUCCUUUUUUGUAGGAUUUUUUUUUAACUGGAGUAUAAUUAACACACGAUGUUACAUUAGUGUCAGGUGCACGAGUCACAUCAGUGUCAGGUGGGCGAGUUACAUCAGUGUUGGUGCGCAAGUUACAUCAGUGUCAGGUGCGCGAGUCACAUCAGUGUCAGGUGGGCGAGUCACAUCCGUGUCAGUGCACAACAUAGUGAUUGAACAAGUCUCUACGUGACUUCAUGCUCAUCCCUGUAAGUGAGGUUGCCACACAUUGUUGACUAUAUUCUCCAUGCUGUACUUCUCAUCUCUGGGAUUUAUUUUAUGGCUGGAUGUUUAUACAUAACUCUUUAUCUCCUUUGUAUCAUAUCACCUCCCCCUUCCCCCAGCACCACCAGUUGGUUCUCUGUAUUUAAGAAUCUUUUUUUUUUUUAUUUGUUCAUUUGUUUUGUUUCUUAUACUCCAUAUCUAAGUGCAAUCGUAUGGUAUUUGUCUGCCUCUGUCUGAUUGAUUUCACUUAACAUCAUACCUUCUGGAUCCAACCUUGUGAUGUCCCUUUACAAUUCUGGAGUAAUUGCUCAGAGGCUUCUUUGUUUUUGUUUGUUUUUCUUUUAUGGCCUUAACAUUGUGGCUAAGUAUAGGCCAAUCAUUUUGUAAACUAUCCCUCAAUUUGGUUUUGUUUGGUGUUGUCUCAUGGUUGCAUUGGGGUUGCAGUUUUUUAAUUUUUUUUUUAAGAUUUUAUUUAUUUAUUUGUGAGAGACACAGAGAGAGGCAGAGACACAGGCAGAGGAAGGAGAAGCAGGCUACCUGCAGGAGCCUGAUGCAGAAUCUGAUCCUGGAACACCAGGAUCACGCCCUGAGCCAAAGGCAGACGCUCAACUGCUGAGCCACCCAGGCUCCUGCACUUCUUAAAUUCUUUAUCAGAGACAUUACCAAAGUGACAUUGUAUCACAAGACUGCUUUUAGCAAUUGUCACUCAGAAAGGGGGGCCAGUCUCUGAGUGGACGAAGUCAGGGUCCUGAGAAGACAAGGCCGAGGAAGGGCAUCAGUGGUUGUAGAUGCCAUUCCUUGCACGCCUGGUGAGCCUUCUCAGGAUUCUGCAGCCAUUUAUGGGCAGCUCCAGACACUCCUUGUCGAGUACAGGUCCCAGUAGAGUUUUAAAAAAGGCUGUGAGGCUAAUACUUUCCUAAACUAAAUAUCAACUUCAUUUGACAAAUAAAAUAAUUAUAAUCUAACUGUGUAGGGAUUAU
ensembl:lncRNA